UGGGGAAUCUUGCGCAAUGGGCGAAAGCCUGACGCAGCGACGCCGCGUGGGUGAUGAAGGCCUUCGGGUUGUAAAGCCCUGUGGGGAGGGACGAAUAAGUUCGACCUAAUACGUCGAGCGAUGACGGUACCUCUUUAGCAAGCCCCGGCUAACUCUGUGCCAGCAGCCGCGGUAAGACAGAGGGUGCAAACGUUGUUCGGAAUUACUGGGCGUAAAGCGCGUGUAGGCGGUCUCGCAAGUCGGGUGUGAAAGCCCAGGGCUCAACCCUGGAAGUGCAUUCGAUACUGCGAGGCUAGAGUCCCGGAGAGGAUGGUGGAACUCUCGGUGUAGAGGUGAAAUUCGUAGAUAUCGAGAAGAACACCGGUGGCGAAGGCGGCCAUCUGGACGGUGACUGACGCUGAGACGCGAAAGCGUGGGGAGCAAAC
rnacentral:rRNA from 1 species